GAUGAAGAACGCAGUGAAAUGCGAUACUUGGUGUGAAUUGCAGAAUCCCGUGAACCAUCGAGUCUUUGAACGCAAGUUGAGCCUCAAGCCAUUAGGUUGAGGGCACGUCUGCCUGGGCGUCACAUAUCGUUGCCUGAUGCCAGUUUCCUCGUGAUGGGUGACUGUGCAGGGCGAAUGAUGGCUUCCCGUGAGCAUUGUUGCCUCAUGGUUGGUUGAAAAUUGAGUCCUUGGUAGGGAGCGCCGUGAUAGAUGGUGGUUGAGUGACGAACGAGACCCAAUCAUGUGAGACCCCUACCGAAUUUGGCCUUCAUGACCCACAUGCGUCUUUGGAACGCUCAUGACGAGACCUCAGGUCAGGCGGGGCUACCCGCUGAGUUUAAGCAUAUCAAUAAGCGGAGGA
rnacentral:misc_RNA from 1 species